UUUUUUUUUUUUUUUUUUUUUUUUUUUAUCAAAUAAGCACUUUUUAUUUUACACUUAUUGAAGAUGAAUACACGAAAAGAUGG
rnacentral:ribozyme from 14 species